GGUUAAGCGACUAAGCGUACACGGUGGAUGCCCUGGCAGUCAGAGGCGAUGAAGGACGUGCUAAUCUGCGAUAAGCGUCGGUAAGGUGAUAUGAACCGUUAUAACCGGCGAUUUCCGAAUGGGGAAACCCAGUGUGAUUCGUCACACUAUCAUUAACUGAAUCCAUAGGUUAAUGAGGCGAACCGGGGGAACUGAAACAUCUAAGUACCCCGAGGAAAAGAAAUCAACCGAGAUUCCCCCAGUAGCGGCGAGCGAACGGGGAGGAGCCCAGAGCCUGAAUCAGUGUGUGUGUUAGUGGAAGCGUCUGGAAAGGCGCGCGAUACAGGGUGACAGCCCCGUACACAAAAAUGCACAUACUGUGAGCUCGAUGAGUAGGGCGGGACACGUGGUAUCCUGUCUGAAUAUGGGGGGACCAUCCUCCAAGGCUAAAUACUCCU
rnacentral:rRNA from 1 species